rnacentral:lncRNA from 1 species
GAAGACCACAGACGUAAAGUGCCAUUUUCGUCACAUGCACCAAGGGCAUGACCUAACACUGUUGACGUUAACUUGGUCACCUGGUUGACAGGUUUCUCCACUAUGAAAUCACUCUUCUUUGCUGACCCAUAGUUGGUAAGUUUGGGGCUUCCCAUGGGGUUAUAGCUUCAUAAUUCUGAGUCAACUAUAUAUGUGUAAGGGCUCGAACAAAGAAGUAAAUGGAUGACAGUAGGAGUCAGUGUCCCCACUGUUGAAGUAGAAGAUUACAAAGGCAGGGGGAGGUGGCUAAAAUAAACCACGUGCUAAUGUAUUGCAUUUGGAGACAUCAUACGAACUCAUGUUUGUUAUAAUACACAGAUUGCUCAAUAUAGCAGUAUUGGCAGUUGUGUGUAUACAAGGUUUACAGUCCUUAAAUACCUUCUCGCUCUGUCAGCUGAGAGGGCCUCUGGGCAAGGACGCACAAGUAGCCAUAAGCACAGCCAUCCUCAGAUCUUUGUGUUCUAAAACCAUUCUCCAAUAAAAGGAACCAGAACUCCCUGGAGAAUUACCUGAACCUAGGACUGGGCCAGCAAAUAUACAAGGGGAGCCUGGAGUAUCUUGUAGUGUCAGAACGUAAGGGAGUGAUUUAAAAAAAAAAUCCCACAGUGACGGGGUAGAUCAAACUGACACAACAGCCAACAGCCAAAACUGGAAGAAUUUGGCCUUUUCUUUUCGAUAACGCCGAUAGCUACUACCAGGAGCUGAAUGGCACUUCACACCCAGCUAAGGCUAUGCAGACAUCAUCACAUCAAUCCUCACAACAGUCUUGCGAAUAUUUUUCUCAGUUUAUAGACAAGGAAGUGGAGGCUUGAGAUAGUGACGUGAACCAAGAUCACACAUCUGGAAAGCGACCCCUAGGAUUCAUGACCUUCACACUCGGGGCCUGCUCCCAAAUGUCACUCCUUGCCGGCUCUCACAGCCUCUGGGAAGCCCUGGUCACGAGUGGUUGGCCCACAGAGGUCUCUCAGGCCCCGGCUCACACUCCUGGUGUGGUUUUUUGUGCAUCUCACCAUCUCCAGGAGAUUGGUAAGUUU